UACAGAGGGUGCAAGCGUUAAUCGGAAUUACUGGGCGUAAAGCGCGCGUAGGCGGUUGGGUAAGUCGGUUGUGAAAUCCCCGGGCUUAACCUGGGAAUUGCAGUCGAUACUGCCCGGCUAGAGUGUGGAAGAGGGAAGCGGAAUUUCCGGUGUAGCGGUGAAAUGCGUAGAUAUCGGAAGGAACACCAGUGGCGAAGGCGGCUUCCUGGUCCAACACUGACGCUGAGGCGCGAAAGCGUGGGUAGCGAACAGG
rnacentral:rRNA from 1 species